UUUUCUAAACAAAACCCUAAUUUUAAUGAGAUGUAUUUAAAGAAGGCUAGUGCUUUCUUCGAAGAAAACAAAAGAAUAAAAAAAACAACAUAAAAGAAUGAAUGUAGCCGUCAAAAUAUGGAAAACACAAAGUUAUUAUUAGCUAAAAUUAUAAUUUGAAAAAGGGACAAGAAUGAAGCUUUUUAAAGACCCGUCGACUGCUCGUGCUUCGGAGUCUACGGAGGGUUAGCUGUUUGCCAAGAUCACGUGGAUAAGCAAGCAGUUUAUGAUUUGAGAGCUGGUCCACUCCGAUUCUUUUGAUUCCUCGGAGGUUUUUAUGUUAUUAAACUAGUUUCUAUUUUUCGAACUCUUAGACCGCAGUAGAACUAGUUUAUACAUUACUUAUUAUUGUACUUUGGGAUUGUCGAUUGAGCGACUAUUUAUAUUUGCCAUGUUCACUCUGGAAUAUUAUUUAUUUAUAUAUAAGGCAUGCUGUUGAACCUUUCA